GAGACACCCUUCUGGGGCAAGACUUGCUUCAGUGGGGCUUUGGUUGCUCACUGAGUCUGCCCCCUGAGUGUGUCCCU
rfam:Myotis lucifugus cont2.25772, whole genome shotgun sequence.